rnacentral:rRNA from 1 species
UACGUAGGGUGCGAGCGUUAAUCGGAAUUACUGGGCGUAAAGCGUGCGCAGGCGGUUUUGUAAGCCAGAUGUGAAAUCCCCGGGCUUAACCUGGGAACUGCGCUUGUUACUGGCAGGCUUGAGUGUGGCAGAGGGGGGUGGAAUUCCACGUGUAGCAGUGAAAUGCGUAGAUAUUGGGAAGAACACCGAUGGCGAAGGCAGCCAUCUGGACCGGCACUGACGCUGAGGCGCGAAAGCGUGGGGAGCAAACAGG